rnacentral:lncRNA from 1 species
AUCUAAGGCAGGAAGUUCCUUAACCUGAUAAAGAGCUAACUUAUGCUCUAAAUGAGUGACUGCUUUCCUUCAAAUAUCAGCAAAAACCAAGGACGUCUGUUCCUGCCAAUUUUAUCCAACAUCUUCCUCCAAGUACAACUCGGUAUUUGUAGACAAAUGACCUUAGAAAACUGCAAAGAAUCCACUAAAAAUUAUUAGAACUAAAUAAGUUUAUCUUCAGUACAUUAGAUCAAUAUUCAAAUAUCAGUUUUAUUUUUGUGCAUUAGUGAUGUGCAACCCCCCAAAGGAAUAGAGAACACAAUUCUGUUUACAAUUGCAGUAGACUAGACAAAAAUAAAGAUGUUUAGCAAUCCUGUUUACAAUAAUAGCAAACUAGAUAAAAAUAAAACAUUUAGCAAUUCUGUUUACAAUUACAGCAAACUACAUAAAAAUAUUUAGAAAAAAAUAAGACAUUUGCAUAAAAGAAGUACAAGACAUACACUGAAAACUGUACAGCAUGGACAAAAAAAAAUCAGAUGCCUACGUGAGUGUAAAUGUAGCUGUGUGCACAGAGGGGGACGAGGAAGACGACAGUCCAUAUCCAGCUCCACCCCUAAGAGCCUUUCUGCCUUUCUGCUGUUUAUAGAAAAUGAAUGAAAAGUUCGGCUUGCUUCCUUGCAUCUGGAACUCCUGGGUCGGUAGUGUCUGCAGAGUCAGGGCAGGCACGAUGUCUGAAGCAAUGCCCUCUUUGUUGGAUUUUCCAGGCUCUGAGCACCACUCAGCUGUUUCUUUCCCAGGAGAGUUUUUUCAUACUGGAGACUUUGGACACAAAGUGUGAUACAUAUUGUCACCAUCCUAACACUGCUCCUCCCAGACCACCCAUUUUCUAGUUAAGGACUCCUCAUCUUAGAGGAACUUAGUAGGACAGAAGUUUCAGCCAGGAAGAACUACCAGGUCAGCUCCACGUCCCCACCUGAACCUGUGAGAUAACCACCUCCUCUCCCAAGCCUGCCUUUGACAUGAGGAAAAGCCACGUAGGAAGAUGACGACUUCUCCAAGAACUUAAAUGGAAGAGGCCUUAGCACCCAGGCCUUAUCCCUUAGGUCAUCCUUCGUUCCAGUGAAAGGAAACUUUGCUCCCCGUUAUUCUGGAAAGUUACUGACUUGAGCACUAGGGAUAAGCAGCUGGGUGGCUUGAGAUAGAACUGUCAAAACCAACAACUAAUCAUGGUUCAGAGCACGUGGACAUUUCAACAGGAGCCUGGAGGAGAAGGCAGGGCUUCUUUCCUCAACUGCACAAAUUAAAUAACACAGAACUCCAUCCAAUCCAGAUUUUACCUGCCAUUAAGUAAUAAGUGGAUUGGAAACAUUUUUUUUUUUUUUGAGACGGUCUUGCAGUAUAUCCCUACCUGCCAUGGGACAUACAGUAAACCAGGCUGGCCUUGAACUUUCAGCAACCGCCUGCCAAUGUCUCCUGAGCUGGAAUUAUACAUUCGGGCCUUAACCGGACUUGACUUCAGGGAUGGUACCAGCAUUCUCACCCAGGCAGGGGCGGCCAGUAUUGGGCCGUGCCCAAGGAUGCUGUGAGGCAGGACAGUCUGUGCUAUGAUGUUCUCAGGGACUAUGGGUGGGCCCCUCUCACAGAUCUCACACCCAGGCUCCCUGGGGCCCUAGAUGAGAAUUAGUCAAGACUGUUAAGACAGUCAAGCUUUUUGCUCCUGGCAAUCCCAGCAGAAGAAGGCGAAUUUUCUGCAUGAAGUUGAACUGGAGUCCCACACCGAACUUCCCUCAGCCAGGUCCUAAGACUUCUGAAGGCUUGCUGGGGAACAGCGUCUCCUCAAAGCAGGGAGGAUCACCCCAGGAUUCCCAGGCCAGGAGCCUCACAAAACCCCCCAGCACAAAAUAAAUCUUCCUUUAAAAGUUUGGGGCACAGGGUGGAAGCUAGAGAGACAGUUCAGCAGUUAAGAUACAGGCAACUCUUGCAGAGGAUACAAGUUCAGUUGCUGACACAUUAGGUGGCUCACAGCGUACCUCCAGCUCUGGUAGACUCAACCCGCUCCUGGCCUCUGCUGGCACUUCCCUUGUGCGUACAUACCUACACACAGAAACAAAACUAAAGCUAAAAUAAAUCUUUAAAAAUCCCCUAAACCAGCCAGGCAUAGCACUGUACACCUUUAAUCCCAGCACUUGGGAGGCAGAGGCAGGCAGAUCUCUAAGUUUGAGUCCAGCCUGGUCUACAGAGUAAGUUCCAGGACAGCCAGGGUUACACAGAGCAACUCUGUCUUGAAAAACCGAAACCAAACCAAACC